CCCCGCUUUCCCCUGUCUCACUCCGACCCAUACUCCCCGCUCUCCCCUCUCUCCUGCUUUCCCCUCUCUCAACUCCGGCACGCCGCCUGCCCACGAUCCCAUCUCACAAGUAGGAAUGAUGGGCCGGCUCUCCCCUGUGUACGCCACGCCCUACCUCGCAGCCCCGACGGCGCUCCCCUCACCGCUCCCUCCUUCCCCGCCACGCCUCACUCCCAUGCCGGCAUCCGCCUUUCCUUCCGCCACACACUACUGAUCCUGCCGCGGCGGCCACCUCCUUCCCUCCUCUCCCCUUCAACCUCAUUCUCCAUACUCGCGGUGCUUGCCAUGGCUACUUCCAGGGAGCAGCGCCCAGCGGUGUCGGGGUUGGGGAUCUCGUCGGGUUCAGAGGAGUCCGGUCGCCUCGAUCCGAAGGCCAUGUCAUCGGGCGCGUCAGGCGGAGUUGCUGCAACGUCAGGCAGUGUCCAUGCUGUAGCCAAUCUAUCCAAGAAGGCCACAUGGAAGCUUCCUUUCCAAGUGCUCAGCCAUGGCCUCACUGCUGUGCAUCCCAAAUUCGUGUCGGCAGCAGUGACAGUCCACCUCCUCCCACCAGAUUGCACAAAGGUGUGCUCUUUGCUGCUGGUUAUUGAUUUGCUGCCAAGGACAGACGGCGAGGCUAUCUGUCGACUUUAAGGUAUCGUACUCUGUUCUUCAGAGUAUUUCCUCUUUUCUUAUAGUCAUAUAUAAGUAUAUAUUCUUAUUAAAAAGGCCGUAGCAACCUUACAUAGCCUACUGCUGCAUCCUCUAUGCUGCCCAUUGCUUCCAUCGGCCCACCCUGUCUAUCUUCCCCGGUUAUGAUGUAAGUAUGUGUAGCGAAUAGCCAGCUGAUUAAUUGAUGUCUGACGCUCCCUCUCCUAAAUCCUAAUAAUUGUCCAGAUGGCGCUCCGCUUCCUCUCCCCACCAUCUCCACAAGAAACUAAUGAAUUGCCCUUUAAAGUCUGUUGGGCCUCACCUCAUUUCGUCCCCACCGUCCUCCAGUACGGCUGGGUCUCUACCACACCACUCAUGCUGCCUCCGGUACUACGUGCUCGACGAUGCCCAAGUAGCCAUCUUCCUUGGUUUUCCCUCACUGCAAAUACAGGCGCAUUCAGUUUCUGCCUCCUAAUGCUACAUACUAUUCCCAACUUCUCCUCGGUUGUUAAUUCUAGAAUUUUGCUACAUUCGGUUUUUUGCUCGGUGCACUCUAAUUCUUUAUAUGGAACGACUAAACACAUAUCGUAUUCUGCUGGUACGUUUUAUUGAUCGAUUGGCUUACCCCUUGAGAGAACUAUAUUAUCUAAGUGCAGCUCAAAGGAACAUGACCAUAGUCCUUCCAAAAGAUCCAACAAAGAGGAUGGACAGCAGGAGUAAACCAAACAUGCAGACCAAAUAGAUGUUAACAUGAGGAGGAGACAAUCAAAUAGGAAGGUUCUUCAUUGGUGGAUUAUGCUUAAAUGCACCGUGUUUCUCUUUGCCUUUCCCCAUGUUUUUCCCCCUUAAACCACCCGAGUCCCCAUUGCUCAACGUGUAUUAGGGUAUUUUUAGUCAUAAUAAAUCUAUAAAUACCGAACUGUGUUUGUACCACAUUUCAAAUGUUAACAUCAGAAUCUCUAUUAUAAUGUCAUCUCCGCUCUUUAGCUAUUCAGCAGUAUAA